CAAGUUCGAACGGCAGCACAGAAGGAAGCUUGCUCCUUGGGUGGCGAGUGGCGGACGGGUGAGGAAUACAUCGGAAUCUACUCUGUCGUGGGGGAUAACGUAGGGAAACUUACGCUAAUACCGCAUACGACCUACGGGUGAAAGCAGGGGAUCUUCGGACCUUGCGCGAUUGAAUGAGCCGAUGUCGGAUUAGCUAGUUGGCGGGGUAAAGGCCCACCAAGGCGACGAUCCGUAGCUGGUCUGAGAGGAUGAUCAGCCACACUGGAACUGAGACACGGUCCAGACUCCUACGGGAGGCAGCAGUGGGGAAUAUUGGACAAUGGGCGCAAGCCUGAUCCAGCCAUACCGCGUGGGUGAAGAAGGCCUUCGGGUUGUAAAGCCCUUUUGUUGGGAAAGAAAUCCAUCUGGUUAAUACCCGGGUGGGAUGACGGUACCCAAAGAAUAAGCACCGGCUAACUUCGUGCCAGCAGCCGCGGUAAUACGAAGGGUGCAAGCGUUACUCGGAAUUACUGGGCGUAAAGCGUGCGUAGGUGGUCGUUUAAGUCCGUUGUGAAAGCCCUGGGCUCAACCUGGGAACUGCAGUGGAUACUGGGCGACUAGAAUGUGGUACAGGGUAGCGGAAUUCCUGGUGUAACAGUGAAAUGCGUAGAGAUCAUGAGGAACAUCCAUGGGGUAAGGCACCUUCCUGGAGCGACAUAGACACGGUAGGCACAUAAAGCGUGGGG
rnacentral:rRNA from 1 species